rnacentral:rRNA from 1 species
GACGUAGGGCGCGAGCGUUGUCCGGAUUUAUUGGGCGUAAAGAGCUCGUAGGCGGCUUGUCGCGUCGACUGUGAAAACCCGCGGCUCAACUGCGGGCUUGCAGUCGAUACGGGCAGGCUAGAGUUCGGUAGGGGAGACUGGAAUUCCCGGUGUAGCGGUGAAAUGCGCAGAUAUCGGGAGGAACACCAAUGGCGAAGGCAGCUUGCUGGGACGGUACUGACGCUGAGGCGCGAAAGCGUGGGGAGCAAACAGG